UCAAGCGAACAAGGGCGCAGGGCGAAUGCCUUGGCACUGGGAGCCGAUGAAAGACGUGAUAAGCUGCGAUAAGCUUCGGGGAGCUGCAAAUAAGCAUUGAUCCGGAGAUUUCUGAAUGAGGAAACUCACCUGGGUUCAUACUCAGGUACGUUAUACUGAACUUAAAAAUAGGUAUAUCGAGGGAACCGCCUGAACUGAAACAUCUAAGUAGGGCGAGGAAGAGACAUCAAACGAGAUUCCGUAAGUAGUGGCGAGCGAACGCGGAAGAGGGCAAACCGGAAGUAGAAAUACUUCCGGGGUACGGACUGCUUUUAGGACUUAAUCUGUUAACCGAACGGCAUGGGAAGGCCGGUCAGAGAGUGUGAGAACCACGUAGGUGAAAACGGAGAGAGCUGCGCAGGAUCCAGAGUACGGCCAGACACGUGAAACCUGGUCGGAAUACGGGGGGACCACCCUCCAACCCUAAAUACUACCCAGUGACCGAUAGCGUAUAGUACUGUGAAGGAAAGGUGAAAAGCACCCCGGGAGGGGAGUGAAAAAGAACCUGAAACCCUGUGCCUACAAGCACCUAGAGCACGUCAAUGUGUGAUAGGGUACUUUUUGUAGAACGGUCCGGCGAGCGAUUGUAUGCAGCAAGGUUAAGGACUUAAGGUCUGGAGCCGAAGCGAAAGCGAGUUUGAAAAGGGCGUUAAGUUGCAUACAAUGGGCCCGAAACCGGGUGACCUACCCAUGGUCAGGUUGAAGUGGAAGUAAAAUUCCAUGGAGGACCGAACCGACCUCCGUUGAAAAGGCGGCGGAUGAACUGUGGGUAGCGGAGAAAUUCCAAUCGAACCCGGAGAUAGCUGGUUCUCCCCGAAAUAGUUUUAGGACUAGCCUCAAGUUAGAUACCUGGAGGUAAAGCACUGAAUAGCCUAGCGGCCGAGAGGUUAGCGAAGCUUAUCAAACUCAGAAUGCCAGAGUAUUGAUGCUUGGGAGUCAGACAGUGUCAGAUAAAUGUCAUUGUCAAAAGGGAAACAGCCCAGAUCUACAGCUAAGGUCCCAAAGUCAGGUUAAGUGGAAAACGAUGUGAAGAUACGUAGACAACCAGGAUGUUGGCUCAGAAGCAGCCACACAUUCAAAGAGUGCGUAAUAGCUCACUGGUCGAGCGUCUUUGCGCGGAGAAUUUAACGGGGCUAAACCUGACACCGAAGCUUAGGCAAUACAGCAAUGUAUUGGGUAGGGGAGCGUUGUAUACGCGGUGAAACAGUAGCGCAAGCGGCUGUGGAGUGUAUAGAAGUGAGAAUGCCGGAAUGAGUAGCGCGAAUGCAGUGAGAAUCUGCAUGGCCGAAAGCCUCAGGUUUCUGGAGGAAGGUUCGUCCGCUCCAGGUUAGUCGGGAGCUAAGGUGAGGCCUAACGGCGUAGCCGAUGCACAGACGGUAGAGAUUCCGUCACCACCAAAAGAGUUAAACACAGGGACACAUUUGAAGUCUCGGAGCCGGGUGUUGGUUCCGGUAGCGAUCGAGGGAAGUUAGUACCGAAGUCCGGGAUGGAAGAUGGCGAGAAAAGCUGUGUGUAUUUCUGCGGUGCCCGUACCGCAAACCGACACAGGUAGGUAGGAAGAAGAUUCUAAGGCCAACGGGAGAAGGGUUGUUAAGGAACUCGGCAAAUUGACCCCGUAACUUCGGGAGAAGGGGUGCUCCAGAGAUGGAGCCGCAGAGAAUCGGCCCAAGCAACUGUUUACCAAAAACACAGGUUUGUGCUAAAUCGAAAGAUGACGUAUACGAGCUGACGCCUGCCCGGUGCUGGAAGGUUAAGAGGAGAUGUGCAAGCAUUGAAUCGAAGCCCCAGUGAACGGCGGCCGUAACUAUAACGGUCCUAAGGUAGCGAAAUUCCUUGUCAGGUAAG
rnacentral:rRNA from 1 species